AUGCGCUACGGCAGUUUGUAGUUUAGUCUAAUCAAGCCAUGGUGUUGAAACUUGAACAUACUUGUCUCAAUGAGACUUUGGAGUGAACCAAAUGAGCUUAUGUUCUUAUAUGACUACUAGCUAGAAGUUAGAGCCUAGAUGAUGGCUGCUUCUGUUGGCGUGAAAGCUCGAGUGCUCCUAAAUGGUCGUCGUAUUAGCUGAUACGACAUCGACCCGAUGCAAUAGAUAAUAUUGUUUACACGCGUGAGUCCAAAAUUGUUGGCUUUGGGUCGGAGCAGUUAACGCGAGAAGUGUAUUUUAUCACUUCCGAGUGCAACCUUUUUUUUAUUAUUUUUCCGAGCUUCUGCCUCUUGCAUAUGUUGUAGAUUCUCGCCGAGAAGGGAGUAGUAGUAUUACCUGAUAUCUAUGCUAAUUCAGGUGGUGUGGUCGUUAGCUACUUUAAUUGAGUGGGUUCAGAACAUUCAAGGUUUCAUGUGGGCCGAGGAGAAAGUGGACGAUGAACUAGAAAAGGACAUGAGCAGUGCUUUUCAACACAUGAAGGCCAUGUGCAAAUCUUUGGUGCUGCCGAAGUGUGUCGUGACAUUGGAACUGCGGGUCUAGAAAAACAAGCUCAUUAGAUUUCUGAAAAAACAUUAGGAGUUAUUAGAUUGGUAGCAUUAUUUUAAGAUUUAAAAUUUUAUAGAAGUCAUCAUUUUCGUUUAUUGGAAGAAAUAUUUUUGGAAGUUGAAAAGAUGCUCUAACAUCCAACCAUGCAAACUAUCUUGCAACCACUCUAACACGAUUUCGGUAAUAUGUUUUUAUGA